rnacentral:rRNA from 1 species
GAAGCUUGUUACGACUUUUACUUCCUCUAAAUGACCAAGUUCGUACAACUUCUCGGCAGUCGGGUGCUCUCGCGAGCUCCCAAUAGCCAAUCCGGAGGCCUCACUAAGCCAUUCAAUCGGUAGUAGCGACGGGCGGUGUGUACAAAGGGCAGGGACGUAAUCAACGCGAUCUGAUGAAUCACGCUUACUAGGUAUUCCUCGUUGAAGAACAAUAAUUGCAAUGUUCUAUCCCCAUCACGACAGAGUUUCACAAGAUUACCCAUGCCUUCCGGCAAAGGUGGUAGACUCGCUGGCUCUGUCAGUGUAGCGCGCGUGCGGCCCAGAACAUCUAAGGGCAUCACAGACCUGUUAUUGCCUCAAACUUCCAUCAGCUAAACGCUGAUAGUCCCUCUAAGAAGACAGCAGCUAGCCAAAGCCGGCUGGUCUAUUUAGCAGGUUAAGGUCUCGUUCGUUAUCGGAAUUAACCAGACAAAUCACUCCCCAACUAAGAACGGCCAUGCACCACCAACCACAAGA